AUGGUAUUCCCUGUAACUCCUCUCAGCCUUGCCUCUGCUGAGGUGAGGCAGCUCCACCUGUAUCUCCUGUGUUGUCAGUGCAGCUGCCCACUGCAAAACCCCCCUGAGCACCCCCAGUGUCCCUGGGACCAGAGCUCCCUGUUCCCACUGCAAACUCUGCAGCACAGACAGAAAAGGGGCUUUUCAGCAGAAAACCCAGCUCAGAGGGGUGCUGUGGUGCCCUUUAUUCACCCCCUGCCUUGGAGGGGUGUAGUGAGCUGUCUCCAGCUCAUUGCCUUCAGGAAUUGUGGGCUCCAGGGGGAUCCAGCCCUGCUCAGGGGCUGCAGCAGGCAGGGCGCUGACAGCACAUCCUGCCCCUGGCCACUGGAAACACAAGCACAGGUUUAUGGCCUUACUGCAGGCUCUGGCAGCUGGAAAACAGCUGGCUGGUCCCAGGAAAAGCUUUAUUCCAGCUGGGCAGGGUCUGGGCUCUGCAGCACAGGGACAAGGAUGGGGCUGGAGGCUGCUGAACAAACCAGCCUUUUUCUCCGCAGCAUAGAGGGAGCUUUGAUAAAGCGGGGAAACCCUCGGCCAGCAGCGAGGGGCUCUCUGCAAACCCUCUGCUGCCUUUGGGAACAGCCGCGGGCAGGGCUGGCAUCUCCAGCCUUGNUCCCAUCCCCCAGAUCCUCAGGGUUUCCCAGAUCAGGGCACUUUCAGAACCUCCUCAGAGCACUCCCCAGCUUGGUCAUGUUUGAUUCUCUUUUUCCCUGGACUGGGAGCCUGAGCAGACGUGGGUGAUGCUCGUGUGAGCCACUGCACUCCAAGCAGAUAGAUCCCCACACCCUGGGUUUAUUUUUCUGGGAGUAUUUUAGAGUAGAAUCUGCUUCUGGAGGUGUGUGAAAGAGGGGGGCCCUGAAUAGCUUCUCUCUCUAUUUCAAGUGGAUAUUCAGCAUGAAAUAGGUUGCCCCUGUUAAAGCUUCAGCCUGGUGUGAGCAGUGCUCUCAUGUUCCCCUUUUGUGCUGAGAUCAGUCCCAGGGCAGGAGACAGCUGAGGGUUUAGACCUGUGAUAGAGACCUCUCUUCCUCAAAAAGCUCCAACUUUAAAAAGAAUAGCUUGAGAUAUUGUAAAUCUUCACCUGGCCUUCCUAUUUCUGGCCAAGUGGAGAAGCAAGGGGCUCCUGAAGGCUUUCCAUCCCCCACUGCACAGACCAGCUGGGGGAGGAAAAUGGGUGUCAAAAUGGCACCAAGUCCCCAUGUCAAGCUUGGCCAAAAAAACCCCAAAAAACUGAGAACCAAAAAGAAAACAACCAAAAAAACAAACCUAUAUAUGUGUAUGUAUAUAUAUAAUUUUAAAACUCCAAAAAUCAAACCUAUUACAUACAUUUUAAAAAAUAUAAUAAUAU
rnacentral:lncRNA from 1 species